GAAAAUACAAAAGAGAAAGAAACCAAAUUUGCUCAAAAUCGCAAAAUGUCACAUAAUCACAUGAGAGACUCUCCUGUGUCUAUUCAAGUUAAAGAAGCACUAUCAAUAUAUUUGAUAAGGACUACAAUGUUUUAUUGACUGAGAGGGGCUCAGGGGAUCCUGUCUGUUUCUCAAAGGAGGCUCAGAGCACUCUGCUUCAUGC
rnacentral:lncRNA from 1 species